rnacentral:rRNA from 1 species
AUACGGAGGAUCCGAGCGUUAUCCGGAUUUAUUGGGUUUAAAGGGUGCGCAGGCGGCCAUUUAAGUCAGCGGUUAAAUCGUGGGGCUCAACCCCAUUCUGCCGUUGAUACUGGGUGGCUUGAUUGCGGUCGAGGUUGGCGGAAUUUGUGGUGUAGCGGUGAAAUGCAUAGAUAUCACGAGGAACUCCGAUUGCGCAGGCAGCUUACUAAACUACUACUGACGCUCAGGCACGAAGGCGUGGGGAUCAAACAGGAUUAGAUACCCUGGUAGUCCACGCAGCAAACGAUGAUUACUAGCUGUUUGCGAUACAAUGUAAGCGGCUGAGCGAAAGCGUUAAGUAAUCCACCUGGGGAGUACGUUCGCAAGAAUGAAACUCAAAGGAAUUGACGGGG